ACCCUCUCAGGGUCGCAUCUGGAGAGUUUCCAGUCCUCUACCAGUCUUGACUAUGGGAGGGAGAGUCAAGCAGAGGCCUUUCCAUUCCAUACCUAGCUUGGCCAGUGGCUAGUGAGUGGAAGGCAAUCUGCUACGAGU
rfam:Ornithorhynchus anatinus chromosome 4, whole genome shotgun sequence.